CUUAUAUAUUUAAAGUUUAGAAUAUUGCGUUGAAGUUGCAAAGGUGGCGUUUCGCCUGUAAGUGG
rnacentral:tRNA from 1 species